CAUUUUCUUUUUUGUUCAGAAUAUUUAAUGCAUAAUCUGGUGCUUCAUAAUAUAUAUUUGGUCAUGGGAAAUCACUGCACGUUUCUUUUGGUUUGUUUGUCCUAUUAUUUUAUCAUUGUCUUUUACUGAACUUAUGCUCCCAAUUUGCAUAUAUGUUAGCACCCUCCUCUUCCUUUUGAGUGCAGCAAAGUCAGGAAAGUGGCUGUGUUCCAACAAGAUAGGAAAAUGGAACAAAGUCUUGGGAGUCUUCUCUGUGAGAUUUUGGGAAAUAACACAUCCCACUAUGGUAAAAUAAGAAAUUGAUCCAUCUUGGACCAGGAGGGAUUGUCCUGGUUAUUAGACCAUUUGAAGCCCCACUGCCUACUGCUAUAGGGAGAUAAUUAGAUAUGAAGUUUCAAAAUUUAUUAGUGUUGUCUUGGGUGAUGGAUCUAAGAUCAACUUUUGGCAUGUGUGAUCCAUAGGGAACAGCCUUUUAAGAUAUCUUAUUUGGUUUUGUCUAGUAUCGCAUGUCGUUAGGAUGCAUUGUUUAGUGGGUUACUUGCAACUCCAAAAAAAUGGAAGUAUUUAGUUGGAUAUACUUUUUAAUGGACCUAUACAAAACUUGGAGGUGGAUUUGGUUUUCUCUUUCUUUAAGAUGUUGUACUGUCUCAAAGUGCGGCAAGGUGGCACGGAUCACAAAUGCUAGACUCCAUCCAAAAGACACAAGUUUGAAGUGAAGCCAUAUUAUUGGUUUUUAGACUUACCUACAAGUUUUCUGUUUUCUUACUGUAUUGAGAGAGUAAAAGCCCCUUUAAGAAUAUCAUUUAUUUUUUCACUCCUGAGAUUAGUUGGGACAUUGUUCCUAGACACCCAGUGCCAAUAAAAAAAAAAGAAUAUCAUUUUUUUGUGGAAGACGUUAUUGGAACAUCAUUGUGGUGGAUUACUGUUGUGUUUGUAAGAAGAACGGGGAGUCCAUUGCUCACCCUCUUUAUUGUGAAGUGACAAUAGAUAUAUGGAGUUUGCUCUUGAAGUUGUUUGGUGUUGAUAGGGUCCCUCAAAGGGUAAAAUAGUUGUUGAUGUGUUUUAUGUGAUAUUGCCCUCUAGUGAAAAUUAAACAUUGUACUUGAGCUAUACCUAUUCUUAUUAAUAUAAUUUGUUAUAAAAAAAAAAAAAGAAACAUUGAUGCGAUUACUAUUCUGGUAUAAUAAAUAGAAUGUAAUGAAGUAAGAGGAGCAUAUGGGGUGGGAGCUAGGAAAUGUAUCAGGAACAGAUGGGUAGAUCUUUCCAACAAUUUCAGAAUUGAGGUGGGAAGGGGAACUUGAACCAGAUUCUGGUCCAACAUAUGGUGUGGUGAUAUAGCCUUGAAAAAUGCUUUCCCUUCACUCUAUAGGAUUGCAUUGGACAAGGACGCUUCAGUGGCUGAUAACAUGGUCACUUCCGCUGGUUGGUGAGGUUUACUAGAGCUUUUAUGUUUCACUUUUUGCUUAUUAAAAAAAAAAAAGGUUUACUAGAGCUGUCCAGGAUUGGGAGGUUGGUGACAUUACAGAACUUUACACGGCACUUUACGCACUGAACCUAAAAGCUGAAGGGGAGAACUGGUCGCGUUGGAAGCAUACCGGAAACAACAACUUCUUGGUCAGAUCCUUCUACAAGCUGGCUGGCCUCUCAUGGGAAAAUAUUGACUAUUGAUAAGCUAAGAAAGCGUGGAUUCCUAAUAAUGGAUUGGUGCUUUGUGUGUAAAAUGAAGUGGUCAAGGCUUUAUGGGACGAUAUCUUCUCUAGGCUUGGCAUUGUUGCUUGGGUCAUGCCUAGGAAGGUGGCUGAUUUAUUGUUAUGCUGGAGAGGAAUUCAGGGUAAUCAUCAAAUAGUGGCUGUUUUGGAAGAUGGUGCCUCUAUGUUUAAUGUGGUGUACUUGGAACGAAAGGAAUGGUCGCUGCUUUGACAAUAGGGAACGGUUGUUGGAAGGGUUUAGGGACUUUUUCUACCAUACAUUGUUACUUUGGGCUUCAGCCAUUGUAUUUAAUGGGGCUAGCCUUAAUGACUUUUAUGCUGAUUUUCACAGCAUUUAGCUUGUAAUUAGGUUCACCUUUUGUAUACUUUCUAUGUACCAGUGCUAUGCUUAAUUACGUAAUUAAUAAAAUUUCUUACUUAUAAAAUAAAAAAUAAAAAGAAAGAGAUUGUAAUGCACACUAAUGUUGAGGGGAAAACAGUGACUUUACUUUCCCUCUGUUUUGUAUUGACUUGGAUUAUUUA